rnacentral:rRNA from 1 species
GAUGAACGCUGGCGGCGUGCCUAAUACAUGCAAGUCGAGCGAAUGGAUUAAGAGCUUGCUCUUAUGAAGUUAGCGGCGGACGGGUGAGUAACACGUGGGUAACCUGCCCAUAAGACUGGGAUAACUCCGGGAAACCGGGGCUAAUACCGGAUAACAUUUUGAACAGCAUGGUUCGAAAUUGAAAGGCGGCUUCGGCUGUCACUUAUGGAUGGACCCGCGUCGCAUUAGCUAGUUGGUGGGGUAACGGCUCACCAAGGCAACGAUGCGUAGCCGACCUGAGAGGGUGAUCGGCCACACUGGGACUGAGACACGGCCCAGACUCCUACGGGAGGCAGCAGUAGGGAAUCUUCCGCAAUGGACGAAAGUCUGACGGAGCAACGCCGCGUGAGUGAUGAAGGCUUUCGGGUCGUAAAACUCUGUUGUUAGGGAAGAACAAGUGCUAGUUGAAUAAGCUGACACCUUGACGGUACCUAACCAGAAAGCCACGGCUAACUACGUGCCAGCAGCCGCGGUAA